CGAACGCUGGCGGCGUGCCUAAUACAUGCAAGUCGCACGCUUCUUUCCUCCCGAGUGCUUGCACUCAAUUGGAAAGAGGAGUGGCGGACGGGUGAGUAACACGUGGGUAACCUACCCAUCAGAGGGGGAUAACACUUGGAAACAGGUGCUAAUACCGCAUAACAGUUUAUGCCGCAUGGCAUAAGAGUGAAAGGCGCUUUCGGGUGUCGUUGAUGGAUGGACCCGCGGUGCAUUAGCUAGUUGGUGAGGUAACGGCUCACCAAGGCCACGAUGCAUAGCCGACCUGAGAGGGUGAUCGGCCACACUGGGACUGAGACACGGCCCAGACUCCUACGGGAGGCAGCAGUAGGGAAUCUUCGGCAAUGGACGAAAGUCUGACCGAGCAACGCCGCGUGAGUGAAGAAGGUUUUCGGAUCGUAAAACUCUGUUGUUAGAGAAGAACAAGGACGUUAGUAACUGAACGUCCCCUGACGGUAUCUAACCAGAAAGCCACGGCUAACUACGUG
rnacentral:rRNA from 1 species